rnacentral:rRNA from 1 species
AUGGUGGAGGAAGACGACUCCGGCUUGCCGAUAGUGGUGGGGGAUGUCAUCCACAAGGCCGUCGUCGAGGUAAACGAGGAAGGGACUGAAGCUGCAGCUGUCACCGCCGCCGACGCCGGCAUGGGAGGAUGCAGCCGAUUUGUGGAUUUCAUCGCCGACCAUCCGUUUGGCUACUACAUAAUGGAGGAAGCGACUGGCGCAGUUAUCUUUGCGGGGCACGUCCUAGACCCCUCCAAGGAGUAA